rnacentral:rRNA from 1 species
AACCUGCCGUAUGCAGGGGGACAACAGUCAGAAAUGACUGCUAAUACCGCAUAAGCACACAAUGCUGCAUGGCAUGGUGUGAAAAGAUUUAUCGGCAUACGAUGGCCCCGCGUCUGAUUAGCCAGUUGGCAGGGUAAUGGCCUACCAAAGCAACGAUCAGUAGCCGGCUUGAGAGGGUGGACGGCCACAUUGGGACUGAGACACGGCCCAAACUCCUACGGAAGGCAGCAG